rnacentral:rRNA from 1 species
GUCUUUUUGAAAAUAAUUUAAAGUCUCGCCUGCCCCCUGAAAAUUUAAAUGGCCCCGGUAUAUUGACCGUGCAAAGGUAGCAUAAUCCUUAGUUUUUUAAUUGAAAGGUGGAAUGAAUGGUUGGAUAAAAAAAAAUCUGUCUCAAAUUAAAUUUAUUAGAAUUUUAUUUUUAAGUUAAAAAGGUUAAAUAGAUUUAAUAGACGAGAAGACCCUAUAGAGUUUUAUAAAAUUUGAAUUUAUAAAUUUUGAAGGAUUUAUUUAUUUUAAAUUAAAAUUUUAUUUUGUUGGGGUGAUAGAAAAAUUUAAUAAACUUUUUUUUUAUAAAAACAUUAAUUUAUGAAUAAAUGAUCCAUUUUUAAUGAUUAUAAGAAUAAAUUACCUUAGGGAUAACAGCGUAAUUUUUUCAGAGAGUUCUAAUCGAAGAAAGAGAUUGCGACCUCGAUGUUGGAUUAAAGUUAAUUUUUGGGGAAGGAGCUAAAAAAUUAG